UACGUAGGGUGCGAGCGUUAAUCGGAAUUACUGGGCGUAAAGCGUGCGCAGGCGGUGAUGUAAGACAGGUGUGAAAUCCCCGGGCUUAACCUGGGAACUGCAUUUGUGACUGCAUCGCUGGAGUGCGGCAGAGGGGGAUGGAAUUCCGCGUGUAGCAGUGAAAUGCGUAGAUAUGCGGAGGAACACCGAUGGCGAAGGCAGCCCCCUGGGCCAACACUGACGCUCAGGCACGAAAGCGUGGGGAGCAAACAGG
rnacentral:rRNA from 1 species